UGCUGGGAGCAGCUCGUCAGCGUUGGUUCUCUGUGUGUGAAGGGUUUGUGGUGUCUGCUCUUGAGAUCGGUUAACAUCAUGAGUUUGGUUAAAUUCAUUCUACUGUUGGUUCUUUAUCAGCAGUUCAUAUGCAAUGUAUUUUGCUCUCCAGUUGAUGCUGGCUCUUUCAACUCUUUCUGGAGUGAUGAUGGGACAGGAGUUGGCAUUAAAGAAUCCCCCGGAAGUGGCAACGGCAGCAAUUAUGCUCCUGCGACCGCGGGCCCCGCCGCCCCCAGCAACGGCCCUGCCGCCGACGGCGCUCCUGUUACCGCGGGCCCCGCCACCCCCAGCAACGGCCCUGCCGCCGACGGCGCUCCUGU